rnacentral:rRNA from 1 species
UACGUAGGUGGCUAGCGUUGUCCGGAUUUACUGGGCGUAAAGCGCACGCAGGCGGUUUGUUAAGUCAGAUGUGAAAUCCCCGGGCUCAACCUGGGAACUGCAUUUGAAACUGGCAAGCUAGAGUCUCGUAGAGGGGGGUAGAAUUCCAGGUGUAGCGGUGAAAUGCGUAGAGAUCUGGAGGAAUACCGGAGGCGAAGGCGGCCCCCUGGACGAAGACUGACGCUCAGGUGCGAAAGCGUGGGGAGCAAACAGG